rnacentral:misc_RNA from 1 species
AAAGUCGUAACAAGGUUUCUGUAGAUAAACCUACGGAAGGAUUAUUACCUUUCUAGCUAUUUAAUAGCUUGUCUAGGGGCUGUAGUUUCUGUAGUCUCUAACUAUAUCUGUGUUUUUUGCGUACUAUAUGUUUUCUUAGCAGGCUUGCUUACUAGUUAGAUAAACUAAAACUCUUUGCAAUUAUAAUUAGCGUCUAAAAUUAUAUAAUAAUUACAA